CGAGGGUUGUCGCUGGCCUCGAAAGAGGCAUGUGCACGCCCGAGCUCUUAAAUCCACAACACACCUGUGAACCCACCGUAGGCCUUCGGGCUUAUGUAUCAUAUACUCUGAAUGUGUCAUAGAAUGUUCAUGUUGCCUUAAAACGCAAUCAAAUACAACUUUCAACAACGGAUCUCUUGGCUCUCGCAUCGAUGAAGAACGCAGCGAAAUGCGAUAAGUAAUGUGAAUUGCAGAUUUUCAGUGAAUCAUCGAAUCUUUGAACGCACCUUGCGCUCCUUGGUAUUCCGAGGAGCAUGCCUGUUUGAGUGUCAUUAAAUUCUCAACCCCACCGAUUUGCUUCGGGGGGAUUGGACUUGGAGCGUGCUGGCGAAGGUCGGCUCCUCUUUAAAUGCAUCAGUGGAGAGAAACUUGCCCCAGUGUGAUAAUCCUGUUGCGCUGUGGUGGGUGAAAGUCUGCUUCCAACCGUCCCUCCGGGGACAUACGUCAUCUUAUUUUGACCUCAAAUCAGGUAGGACUACCCGCUGAACUUAAGCAUAUCAAUAAGCGGAGGAA
rnacentral:rRNA from 1 species